AUUGAACGCUGGCGGCAGGCCUAACACAUGCAAGUCGAACGGUAACAGGAAGCAGCUUGCUGCUUCGCUGACGAGUGGCGGACGGGUGAGUAAUGUCUGGGAAGCUGCCUGAUGGAGGGGGAUAACUACUGGAAACGGUAGCUAAUACCGCAUAAUGUCGCAAGACCAAAGAGGGGGACCUUCGGGCCUCUUGCCAUCGGAUGUGCCCAGAUGGGAUUAGCUUGUUGGUGGGGUAACGGCUCACCAAGGCGACGAUCCCUAGCUGGUCUGAGAGGAUGACCAGCCACACUGGAACUGAGACACGGUGCAGACUCCUACGGGAGGCAGCAGUGGGGAAUAUUGCACAAUGGGCGCAAGCCUGAUGCAGCCAUGCCGCGUGUAUGAAGAAGGCCUUCGGGUUGUAAAGUACUUUCAGCGGGGAGGAAGGGAGUAAAGUUAAUACCUUUGCUCAUUGACGUUACCCGCAGAAGAAGCACCGGCUAACUCCGUG
rnacentral:rRNA from 1 species